rnacentral:rRNA from 1 species
CGGCGGUUUGCCAGCCGUAAAACCCCCGACAUAGGUCCCCGGACCGACCAUGU